CCCAUCGCUGAGGCUUUGCGGAGACCAGCAGUAGCUUUUCAUAGGUCCCGUUCUCUAAAGUGAAACAGGGCAAAGAAGUUUAGGGGCAAUGAUUCUCCUGGGUACACGCCGAGGGCUACUGGCCCGGCAGCUGUACCUCCUCGCUGCAGACUAGGGCAACACGGGACGUAGAUGUACACCGCACACAGGCUUCCACCUGCUGUUUGCAGGUGCCAUGAACUGCAGCCCCGCCAUGCCACCCUGCCUUGAAGCCAGCUGAGUAUGGACUAAAACUUCCAAGAACUUGUCAGAGUUUCCUAGUUUCCCCAGUCAGCAAAGGAGGAAAGUGAUACUCAGAGAAGUUCAAGCAAUCUGUCUCCGGCUGCAAAGUUUUUAGUAAGGAUACCAGAAACUGAACACGCAUCUAUCUGAUUCCAAAACAUGUGUCAGUGACUUAAAACCAACUUCAUCUGUUGUGAUAAGGCAGAGUGGAAGAGAAAGAAAACCCAUCAUUGACUCAUUUCUCAUCUAAAACUAUCUGAAAUACAAAAAAUGCAGGCCUGCAGCACCCAUACAAUUCUACAGAGAAAAGAUGCUACUGGUGAGUGUCCCUGGAACUGCUACUUAUGCACUGUGAAAAUAUGCAUGAGUCAUGUGAUCCGACAUCUUUAUUCUGUUUUCAUUUUUUAAAUUAGUUUAGCAAUAUGUAUAUCAAAAGUCACCGUAGUACUUAAGGAUACACCGUAUCAGGAAGCAUUCUACAAUAUAGAUGCAACUAUUGUGGUUCUUGAUGCUAAUUCAUUUUAAAACUGAAUAUCCUAAAAAUAUUUAGGGGAAAAUUAAAUAAUUCAGUAAAAAUCAAUUAACUUUCACUUGUCAACAAAAAACAGUUUUUCUGCAAUAUCACUGUAUGAAUAUCCACUUUAUAUGCUUUAAUUGUAUAAUUUGGACAACUGUUUCUAAGAUGACAAUGUGUAACCUAUUAACUAGUGAUAUCUUACUAUAUAUUUUUUUCUUGAAAUUUUGUAUUAUUUGUACCCUGUUACUGCUUUGUUUUUUAUUUCCUUUCUUUUUUCUCUUUAAAUAAAUUUUUUAAAAAAGAAAAAAACCAAAAAAACAGUUUUAAUUGAAUGAAAAAAUAACUAAUGAAUGAGCUGGAUGUUAAGAUGGCUACCAUUUUGACCAAAUAAAGACUC